CCUACGGGAGGCAGCAGUGAGGAAUAUUGGUCAAUGGGAGAGAUCCUGAACCAGCCAAGCCGCGUGAGGGAAGACGGCCCUAUGGGUUGUAAACCUCUUUUGUCGGAGAACAAAACCCGGGACGUGUCCCGGACUGCGUGUAUCCGAAGAAAAAGCAUCGGCUAACUCCGUGCCAGCAGCCGCGGUAAUACGGAGGAUGCGAGCGUUAUCCGGAUUUAUUGGGUUUAAAGGGUUCGUAGGCGGUCCGUUAAGUCAGCGGGAAAAUUGCGGGGCUCAACCCUGUCGAGCCGUUGAAACUGGCAGACUUGAGUUGGCGAGAAGUACGCGGAAUGCGCGGUGUAGCGGUGAAAUGCAUAGAUAUCGCGCAGAACUCCGAUUGCGAAGGCAGCGUACCGGCGCCAGACUGACGCUGAGGCACGAAAGCGUGGGGAUCGAACAGGAUUAGAUACCCGUGUAGUC
rnacentral:rRNA from 1 species